UCAUAUUCCUGGCAUGACUGUAUCCUCUUUCUCUAGAAUAUUGUGUGAUGGGUUUUCUCCCCAUCAGAGUGCUUGUUAAGGUUUUUUUACCUCCCCUUCCUUCAGCAAAGUAGUGGUCUUCCCUCCUCAGCAGAAGUGUUUUCUUUGGAAGGUUCGUUAUUUGGUGGUUGAUCCCCAGUAUUCCUUCAUUUGCUCGGAUAGUUCAUCCCCAGUAGAGUGGUUGGUGUGAUGAUUG
rnacentral:lncRNA from 1 species